rnacentral:lncRNA from 1 species
NNNNNNNNNNNNNNNNNNNNNNNNNNNNNCGGAGGACAUGCUGCCGGGGGAGUAUGUGACGGUAGUGGCGUUAUCCGAGUAUUCUGUGAACCUGCCAAUGGCUAGAAUCCACCUGGAGUGGGAUGGCUUUAAAGGGGAUGUGAAGGCUGCUGUCCAGGAUUUGAUUCCGGCUGAUGUGUUGGUAGGAAAUAACAUAUUGAGGGCACCUGGCCAAGUGAAUGUAGUGACCAGGUCACAGAAAGAAUUUGGGGCUGUGGCAGAUACCCUGACUGAUGGCAGUGAGGGGGGCAGCAAACAGACAGAGAGUGCCUCUCAAGAUGGAUCAGGUGAGGGUUUGUCUGAAAUAUCAGAGAUGAUUCUGAAUCCAAACAAAACCCAGAGUGAAUUCAUCAUGGCUCAGCAGAGUGAUGUAUCUCUAGAGAGGGCCAGGAAUGAUGCUCAGAGUCAGGUCCCAGCCUGUGAAGAGAGAGGCAGGUUUUUUAUGCAGGAUGGGCUGUUGUAUAGGGAACCGCCUAGGGGAAGGAAGAAUUCCCAAGCAGCAGCUCGCAAACAGCUUGUGGUACCUGAGAGUUACCGCAAUGAUUUGUUGAAGUUGGCUCAUGAUAGUCCCUUUGCAGGUCAUCUGGGUAUAGGCAAAACGUGUGACAGGCUAGAGCAGAAUUUCUACUGGCCUCACCUUUUUGGGUCAGUGAGAGAUUACUGCAGGAGCUGUGAGCUGUGCCAGAAGCGUAAGGGGUUGAGGGUUGCCUACCAAGGUGCCCCUCCAGCCUCUGCCCAUUAUUGGGGAGGCUUUUGCCAGAGUAGCUGUGGAUAUUGUGGGGCCACUCCCUAAACCUUCCAGAAAUGGGAAGAAAUACAUCCUGGUGUUGGUAGAUUUUGCUACCAGAUAUCCGGAGGCUGUAGCCUUGGCUAAUAUCGAGGCAGAGACAGUGGCAGUGGCCUUGUUCUCUAUUUUUAGCAGAGUGGGUUUUCCCAAGGAAAUAUUGUCUGACUGUGGGUCUAACUUUAUGUCUGU